AGGUGUGCAGAAUUUCAGUCAAUAAGGGACUGUUAUGUUAGAAUUAUAUAACUUAUUUUCUACAUACAAGUGCAUCAAUAAGGACCAUUUGACAUUUAAAUUACUUUGAAUUUUCAGACUACACCAAUUCCCACCUCCUAUCUUAUUUGUUAUCUGUUCUCAUUGGUGCAUUAAUUGUAAAAGCCAUGUAAUAGUAUCCUUAGUUUCACAAUUGCAAGACAAUUACAUUGAUAAGCUUACAUCAUUGAUUGACAGAAUUAUUGUGUAUAGUUAUCAACAAGAUACACACAGCCAUAAACAAACCACAACAACUAGGCUAUGGUUAAAAGUUGAACAAGCCAAGUCAACUAUGACUUGGCAUUGCAUGCCCGCAAAGCACAAUGGAUAGCAUGCAGGCAUAUUAACCUUAUAUAUUACAAGAGGCCCAUGGGCCUAGAAUCGCUCUUCUGAUACAUUGUAGAACAGGCAAAAAUUCUCACUAACCAAGAUUCAUCAAUUAACAAAGUUUGAUUAUGUUAAGUCAAAGAGUACCUGAAAAUUUAAAUGUAACUGUCCAAAAGUAGGUCACGUUGACCUACUUUUGGUCGACUCACUGAAGACUCAAAAUGCAUCAACUGACAAGUCAAAUAGUAUUCAAAUAUAUUGGACAAAUUCCAAAAGAAGGCCACAGUGACCUACUUUUUGGUCGACACACUCUGAAGACUCAAGACCCAUCAACUGACAAAGUUUGAUGAUUGGAAGUCAAAAUAGUGCCUGGAAUAUUCAAAUAUAGCCGUCAAAAUCCAAAAUAGGUCAUGGUGACCUACUUUUUAGUCAACACACUCUGAAGACUCAACAUGCAUCAACUGACAAAGUUUGAUAAUUGUAAGUCAAAUAGUAUCUGAAAUAUUAAAAUAUAGCCAUCAAAUUCCAAAAUUAGGUCACAGUGACCUACUUUUUUGUCAACAAACUAUGAAGACUCAAAAUGCAUCAACUGACAAAGUUUGAUGAUUCUAGCUUUCAUAUUGACCAAAAUCUGCAUCUAAAAUUGAAAAUGUGAAAUUUGAAUGUCUGCAAAAUUCAAAAAGUAGGUCACUGUGACCCACUUUUUAAUUUAUAAAUAUGUUUCAAGGCCUCUAGACGCAUCAACUUACAAGGUUUGAUGAUUCUAAACCUCUCGGUAUCUGAAAUAAUAACCUAAAAUGUAUUCAUAAAUGAUUAGCCAAAAAAUUCAGAAAGUAAGUCAUGGUGACAUACUUUUCACAUGACGCACUUUAAAGUCCCAUGAUCCAUCAACUGACAAUUUUUAAUGAUCAUGGGCUCAAUAGUGUCCAAGAUAUGCAUCAAAAUCCAUUUAAUAAUAAUUACCUGCGAAAUUCAAAAAGUAGGUCACCAUGACCUACUUUUAAGACAGCAUGAUAUUAGGUCCUAAGAUGCAUCAACUGACAAAAUUUGAUGAUCCUAGUCCUUAUACUAAGCAAAAUAUCAAAGUUUAACAAAACAAAAUUUAAGGUCAACUUUGAAGUGACCUUGAGACCACACCCUUUGCCCCAGGAUGAUGCCUUGAACAUUUUUUUAUCUACAACCUAUCAUCAUCCUUAUGCAUAAGUUUGGUGACAAUUUGCCCAGUGGUUCUUGAGAAGAUUUUUUAGCAACCACUACUUUUGUUUGCAUUUUCCUAAUUAUCUCCCCUUGUUAAAGGGUCACAACCCUAGUUUUAGUAUAAAUGAAAACCCUUGGGCCAAGGAUACCCUGUGACAAAUUUGACAAAAAUUGGCCACGGGGUUCUUGAGAUAUAACCCUUUUUACAAAAAGUUGACGCACACCAUAUGAUUAGCACUUUGAGCCUUCAGCUCAGAAGAGCUAAUAAACAGAAGCUGGAACAAGUUUCAUGGACCCAGGUGGAGUUAUAUUUUGCAAAGCACCUACUCCCAAUCAUACCAUCAAUAUCAAAUGUCACACCUUAUAGUCUGUAAAACCCGAGUCCUAUGAAUUUAUGGUCAUGAGGUCAGGUGUAAUACUAAAUAAAUUCUGAGAAAUAUAUUUUUGACUCCUGAAAGAACCUGAAAAUAUCAUCUAUAAUUAUAAGGACAACAUAAAAAAUUAUUGACCAAUUUUAGUCCGAGCCUGACAAGUUUCAUGUUAUUCCAUUAAGUUUUAUCUAAGAAGUAAAUGUCUUGAGUUUGUAUGAUGAUGGGUUAUGUUACAGUGACCCAUGUAAACAGGGGUAAUUAAUUGAAUUGAAUAAUUAAUGAAACAUCAAAGGUUGAUCAUUACUGACAAAACACUUGGCAAAUGUGAAUAUUGUGUUAUCAUAAACACACAACUGAUUCAUGCCCCAGAACUUUUAAAAUUGUACAGAGCUGAGACAGUCUACAAUUUCCAUGAAAAUAUUCUAGACUUUAUUGUCAGUUUCCACAAUGGGAGUAAUAUGCCUAUAGGUACAUGAAAACGGCCAGAUUACGCCCUCCUCCUUCAGAGUCAAUCAUCACGAAAGGUCCAUUGCAUGCACAUGAAAUACACUUUUAAAAUUUCAACUUGUUUUUAAAAGAUUUGAUUUUUCAAAAUUUAUUUUUUGUGAUCUACACGGAUGUUGUGUUGUAAGUUUGUAGGGCAUGACCCUAUUUAGGAUGUCACAUGACAAAGAUUUUAUAUCUAUUGACCUACGCAUCCUAGUAAACAUGAAUUCUAACACGUGCAUGUUAAAAUUCUAACUGUAAUUCAGUAUGUGUACAACAAUCAGGAAGUUUGAUAACACUGAAAGUGCACUGACAGGGGAGAUUACUCUCUGUCUCAAUCUCACUCUGUAUGGUGAAUUAAACAAUGAAUAACAAAACCAAGUUAUGGAGACAUAAAUGGAUUUAAAUGUUAUGGGUUAUAGUUUCAUUCAUGCUUCAUAAACCAUGAGGCAGUUCAUGUUCAUGAAAAAUAGGAAACACAGCUGUCACACCCACCUCAUUUCUUUUCAAUUAAUUCUAACAUCAAAUCACAUUAAAUUCAUGUUUAUUGUACAGAUCUCUUAAUUAACUUGCAAUGCAAUGUAAAAUUAUGAAAUCACUGAUACAUAUAUGUGUAUGUGAAAUCAAAUUCCAUGUUAAAACUAAAAUUAAAUAUCUUAAGGUACAAUCUUUAAUCCACUGCUCAGGUGUUUGUAAAACUUACAUUGCAUUUCAAUACAAACUUAUUGUUAACAAUCAUAUUCAAAUACUCACUGUAAAGCAAGAAAAUUUUCGAACAGCAAAAGUAUAAAUCAAUAAGAUAAACAAAAAAAUAAAACAAAAAAAUAAACAGUUCUGGAUGGAAUGUGGUGAGCUACUUUUAAAUUCUAAGUCACAUUGAAAAAACUUAAAACGUUUACGAGAUUUGAACUCCAGAUAAUACAGAACCACAUCUCCACGAGUUAACCCACUGAAUUAACCGGCUAUAAAACAAGGAAAUCGAAAAGGACAAAGUUUUGGGGGUUUUUUUUUGGGGGGGGGGGGGGGUUUGGAAAAGGACAAAGUUAACCCACUGAGUCAACCAGCUAAGCAACGAGAUAAAAAAAAAAAGGACAAGAGUUAACCCACUGAGUCAACCGGCUAAGCAACCAGAUCGAAAAAGGACAAGAGUUAAUUAACCCACUGUGUUAAUUAACCUACUGAACAACGAGACAGAAAAGGACAAGGAAUACAUUGAUAUCUAUUUUUUAUUUAAUGGCAGAAGGAAGUUAGCCACUAUGACCAUGUGUUAUUCAUCCUGAAGGUCAUUCAUCCCUGAUGACCUUGACCUUUUGGCACCACGCAAUACUGUGUCAUUUUCCUGUUGGCACAAUAGUUACUUCUUUCACUCUUUAUAUAUAAAUCAAAUGACCAGUCCAUGCUGUUCUCUAAUGUACACAGAUGAUUGUCUAAAAUGGAGUACAACAAAUAAAAUCAUAAGCAGUGAAGACACUAAGGGACACAGGGUCUAGAUUGACGACAGAUAAUAUGUCUUGAUCCAAUUAGAUCGGGAAAUUUAUCAAAACUUUUUGUUCAGAUUGGGAAUUUUUUAAUGAAAACAUUAAUCAUCCACAUUUUUGUUUCAGAUGAAGAGGAUUUUCUACUCUUUUUUAAAGGUUAAGAUGAAGGAAGACUGACGUACUCAGUCACAUUUACUCCCUCCCAAUCAAACGUGUAAUCUUAAAAUCUCUGUAAUUUUUGGUAUUUAGGUAAUCAUUUGAUCAUUCUUACCUAAAUUGACUCAAUACUGGGAAUUACUGGACUAUAUAUGAAUUGGUAAAUUUUUAUUUUCCACUCUAGCUUAGGAAGUUUCCUGUUAUCAGACCCAUUCCUAGAGAGAUCGACAACCCUGAUCCUCUUAUCAGCAAAUUAAAUGACUUUUCUACCCUCCAAUAUACUGCUCAUCCAUUCUGUGGGUGCACUUGUGAUCUAAAACUAAACCAUUGGAUGACAUAGUGUGCAACAACGUAAACAUGAAACAUGCUGACAUUGGAUUCUCCUGUACAGUUGUUUUAAAUCGACCUUCCGUUAAUCCCAGGUCCAUAUUUGCUUUACUUUAAAUACUGAUCACCAAAAACCUUUUGAAUUCUCAUUUGACACAGAAGAGUUCCAAAAGUAGUAAGGCCGGAUUUCUGAAAUUUCCAAAAACUAACCCCUUAAUCAUGAAAACGUAACAGUUAAUUCAAAUGGCUGAGGAUUCAAUCACUCAGACAACACAAAGCUAUAUAAUAUAUAUAUAUAGGGUAUAAGAGUAUGUAGCGGUCACAGUUUCGAUAGCGCGCCAUUGGCCAGAUAGCUCAGUUGGUAGAGCACCUGACUAGAGAUUCUGGGGGCCCACUAGGUUCGAAUCUCAGUCUGAUCCAUUACAUUUUCUCCCUUCCUGUUACAUUUGGUGCCAUAGACCAGCCCCUGGAACUGACAGAUGAAAAUGCCUGCCAGGGAACAAAGAUCCACUGCAUCAUACAGGGUUCAUGUCUUCAAGGUGUGAAGACAUUUAAGGAGGGAGGAAUGUAGCGGUUGCUUUGAAAUGGUCACCAACUGGCAAGAGAAAGAGAGGAAGACCAAGAGAGACCUGGAGAAGAUCGGUGGAGAAAGAAAUGAAAGAUAACAACUGCAGUUGGGGACAGGUCCAGAAAUGGAUAAAAGACAGACCAACAUGGAAGUCUCUGGUGACGGCCUUAUGUGCUGACAAGCACGAAGAGGACUAAGUAAGUAAGUAAGAAUGUAGCGAUCAGCCGGGUUCAAUCGGAUAGUUCAGUUGAUAGAGCACCUGACUAAAGAUUCAGGGGGCCUGGGUUCGAAUUCCGGUUUGGUUCGUUGAAUUAUCUCUCUUUCUGUUACAAGUAUAUAGACACACUUAGCAAACGUAUUUAAAAAUUUUGUUCAGAUAAUUGGGAAGAUCUAACUAGAUAUAUACAUAUCUGAUUUAUCAAAUGUACCAUAUCAACUGUAUUUUUAUCAUUUCAAGUCAGUAUACCAGAUAAAGUAUUAAAACAUUGGAAGUACCCCCUUGUUUGUCGUAAGAGGUGACUAAAUGGGGCAGUCCUUCAGAAGAGACCGCAACAACUGAGAUCCCAUGUCACAGCAGGUGUGGCACGAUAAAGACCCCUCCCUGCUCAAAGACCAUAAGCGCCGAGCAUAGACCAAAAUUUUGCAGCCCUUUGCAGUGGUAACGUCUCCAUGCGAGGGAAAUAUUCUCGAGAGGGACAUUAAACAAUAUUCAAUCAAUCAUUAAUUUUACGUAUAAUAUACUCUUACUAGAAUGUGACCUCCUAGUCACUGUUACCAUAUAAACUAACCACGCACAAAUUAGCGGUAAGCCAGGCUAACUUUUCGGGCAGCCGAGCGUUUAAUUAAUAAACAAAACUAUACAAUGAUUAUAAAUCAUAGCAAACGCGAUAUUGCAUAAAAUGAAAUACAACUUAAUAACCAUUUAGCGUUUACCCUCAUAAAAAACAUUACUAACCGCCCAGAAAAAACCAUAAAUAAAAAAGGAUUAUGAAAAAACUAUAUGGAAAUCUGUGUCCACACGCCGGUGUUAAUAAUGUCUAGAGAGUGAAUACUGGACGUGUAUUCUUUAGCUGUAAUUUAUCAAUACUAUUUAAUAAAUUGUUGAAAAUAAGGUGCGUCUGACACCGUGAAAGCGCUGACUUAGGAUGACUAUUGUUAACCUACUCUACUUGAUAUCUCCGUAACUCUGAUUGGUCGUCCUAUGAUCACCCUGCGUAUCAUUACGCCAAUACAUUCGAACACGCAACUAUCAUACAAUGUUUUCCCGCUAUUCUGCAAAUUAAACGCGGGAAAACUUUAAUAUAUACAAUGUAUGUAAUAUAUGUAAUACAAAAUAGAGAACUGCAUCGAAUCUAAACAAAUUCUAUUAUAUUUCAUACAUUCAUACAUCACCAAAAAAAACACAGUAUUCACAUUAAUUAAUAAAUCAUUUACAGCAUGUGCAGCUUAUAAUGAUUAUAAGCUGCACAUGCUGUAGAGGAAUAUGGAAACAUGCUCUCCGUAUAAUUACAUGCAGGAACUUCUGCGAAUUUCGGACAGUACAUUUCUGAAGUUUAGACCCUCGCUGAGUAUUCAAUUUUACCUCAAUAUCUCGAUCUCUACAACAAUAGUCCCAUUUCCCACCUUCUGCACCAAAUAAAAUGAUGUGAUACUUAUCAAAUACCCAAUGAAAUCCAGGUCCAUGUGUAAUUCUGUGGUAAUUUUGGUAAUUUCGGAUACUUUCAUUUAAUUUCUAGCAGCUAAUUUUAUGUAUUUGAUUUGUUUUAGCAAGUGCAUGAGUACAUGUACUACAAAAAGAGGCCCAAGGGUCACAUCGCUCACCUAAGUUACCUUGGCCCAUAUCUAAAGACUUUCCAUAUAUGUAUUUGCAUGUAAAACCUUAGUCCGUAUUGUGGCCCCAAUUUACCCCUGGAGGUCAUGAUUUUUACAAACUUGAAUCUGCACUAUGUCAGGAAGCUUUCAUGUAAAUCUUAGCUCCUCUGGCCCAUUGGUUCUUGAGAGGAUGAUUUUUUUUAAAAAUUUGUAUUUAUUCCCAAUUUCCCAUGUAAAACUUUGAUCCCCCUAUUGUGGCCCCAAACUACUCCCAAAGGCCAUGAUUUGAAUGAACAUGAAUCUGCACUAUGUAAGGAAGCUUUCAUGUAAAUCUCAGCUCUUUUGGCUCAUUGGUUCUUGAGAAGAUGAUUUUUAAAGUUUUCCCUAUAUAUUUCUACGUAAAAAUUUGAUCCCCUAUUGUGGCCCCAACAUACUCCCGGGGGCCAUGAUUUGAAUAAACUUGAAUCUGCACUAUGUCAGGAAGCUUUCAUGAAAAUUUCAGCUCCUAGCUUUGGCCCAGUGGUUCUUGAGAAGAAGAUUUUUAAAUGACCCCACCCUAUUUUUGUAUUUUUGUUAAUAUAAACAAUUGUUUUUUAUUUCACAAGGUUAAUUGAAAAGUUUUAAAAUCAAGGCAACAAGUAUUAACUUUUAAAGAGGCUAAAUGAUUAGUAUGUUACUAUGAAAGUGCCCCGAAAUUGACUUGCCGUGACAAAAAGUGCCCUUUUGAACAUAUGAUAUGUGUGCCCUCUCUAGAUCCUAGAUUUAACACUAUGCCAAUUCGAAGAGGUCUAUGUCAUCUUGAUUUAAUUGGCAUAGACCCAUGGUCUAUACCAAGUUUUAAACCAAUUUCGAACACCAUGCUUGAAAUCUGAUUCCAUAGACCAUGAGGAUGCUUGCAUCAUAUUGUUUCAGCACACUGUAGCUUUGUUCUGAUUCCUAUGUAAAACUUAACUGACUUCAUGAAUCCUAAACCGCGUUCGAGGUCGCCGUUCCGUUGUUCUCGUGCUCCGUUCUUAGAGUCAGGAACAGCUAGAACAUGUGCGCACGAACAUGUUCUUUGUUCUUCAACCACACUACCUACCGAGUUCUUGCACCUCGAACCCAUUCUCGGGUUGCGUUACUCAACGUUCGGAAUCGACAGGGAUUUGUACUUGUAAGAAAAACGGUGAUCUCGAACGCACUCAUAUAUAUCCACAUUUCACAUCAAAAUCUGAACAAAGUUGAAUUCUGUUUUGUCAAAAUGUAUUAUAAAAGCUUUGUAAAUCUAACUGAGAAAUAGAUUUGUUUUCAUAUAUUCUUCUGUAAAACUUGCACCAUCUACUUGGUCCUAUCUUGACACACACCCCCCCCCCCCCCCUAUAAUCUGAACAAACUUGAGUCUAUGCUCUGUGGGAGAGGGUGGUUGUAAGGGGGUCUCCCUAUCCUCCAUUGCUACAUCUCCCUCUUACUCUUUUUCCUUCCUUAAACAUCAGUGGAGAAAGGAAAAGGCACCCCCCCUACCAUUCUCAGACCAAUCCCUCUCCACAUAUUUCCUGUCAGUGUCUCCCAAUGUAACAAAAUAACUGUUCUGGAGAAAAUGUUUCAUACAAAGAAAUAGGGAAAAUAAAACCUGCCAGUACAAUAAGCUACAUAUUAAUUGAACUUGUGACUUUUGAUUUGGUCAAAGCUUACCUUACAAAUAAGCAGAUCAAAGAAAUUAAGUUUCCUUAGCAAUUUUGAAGUAAAAAUUGUGUUCUGUGGAGAUUUGUGAAGGAGAAUUGGGAAUAAAAAGGCUACACUGCUUUGCACUCUAUGCGAAAGACAUUGGACCGUCGGACCUGACCUCAGGUCCAAUGCGUUCUUUUUUACGCCAGACCGGAAUGUCCGAUGUCUCUGCAGUGUCUGGUUUUGAGCUUUACUAUUUGACGCGGAGUCAUUUAAAUGUUUGUUAUCAGUAAAAAAUAUCGCACAAAUCCAAAUAUGUAAAUGAAUGAGAUUAAGACCGCAUGGACCGUCUAAAGUAUUAUGCGGGAGCGAUCCCCGGUAAAAGAAAAGCUGUUAGGCCCACUAGAGAUAAAAUAUCAAUAGUAUUACUAUAGUAUAAUAAAUAAGAUUUCCUGUGUGUUCAUUGAUUACACAGGACCGAAUGUCCUGUGUGGUCCAAAAACUUUAAUUCGCAUAGACUGCUUUGGUUUAAUUGUUUCCAUUAUUUGGGGAUGUUAAAGCAGAUAUUGGGAAAAAAUACCUGCUUUUAGUUUUUAGAAUUGGGAAUGGGGCCUUUAUUUAGGCCCCCUUACAGAUCCUUUAAAAAACGCCUGGCACCUAAAGCUAAAACAAUCAACUGCCUGAGUAUGUCUCAAAAUCUGAGUCAGGCUGCUUACAAAUGAUUACAAUGAAAGAAUGCAUUAUAUCAGGGCUCAAAAUUAACAUAUGCCCGUCAGCCUGGCAGUUUAUACAUGUAUUUGAUAUUUAACCCAUCUCCCCCCUUUUAAAAUUAUAAUGCACCUGCGGGGAUUUUUUUAACCUUUGAUUUCAAGAGCCAAGGCUAUUCAAGGCUAUUUCCAUCAAUUGGUAAAAACAGUGAUAUUUUCAAUGAAAUUGGGAAAACACUUAUAAUUUUAACAAAAUUUUAAAAGCAUACAACUAAUUAAUUUUAUCUUCAGAUUUCAGCAAACUUUAAUUUCUUGUUUUUCGUGGUAAAGAUGUUCCAGUAAAGCACUGUCCAAGUAAGAUUUUAUCAAAGGAAAUCAGCUUCCGUUUCUAAAGUGAGUAUAGUGGCUGAAUCAUAAGAUUUUGAACAUUUUCACUUUCAGUAUCAUUCUGAGAAAUUAAAGAAAAACCCCUUGGAGUUUCCAUUAAGAGGCUUUUGUCACUGCCAAUGGCUGUGUUCAAUAUGGACCCAACCUCUUGUUGAUUUUCUACCUGUUCAUUCAUAAGGAUGGUCAAGGAACAUGGGCUCCUCACAUUGAGAGAUAGCUUUAAAAUUCUUGAGCAUCAUUUGGGGGAAAACAACUGCUUUUCAGCAUUAGGACCAAAUUUUCGCCCUCUACAGACCCUAAAGAAAUUCUGAUUUGUAUAUGACAUUUGAUUUUUUGUUUGUUAUGUACGUAUGCCUGUCCAGAAAUACUGAAUAAAAUUUGUAUACA